UACGGAGGGUGCAAGCGUUAUCCGGAUUCACUGGGUUUAAAGGGUGCGUAGGCGGGUAAGUAAGUCCGUGGUGAAAUCUCUGAGCUUAACUCAGAAACUGCCGUGGAUACUAUUUGCCUUGAAUAUUGUGGAGGUGAGCGGAAUAUGUCAUGUAGCGGUGAAAUGCUUAGAUAUGACAUAGAACACCAAUUGCGAAGGCAGCUCACUACACAAUCAUUGACGCCGAGGCACGAAAGCGUGGGGAUCAAACAGG
rnacentral:rRNA from 1 species